UUUUUUUAUUAUUAAAUAAAUUAGAUUAAUUGUACCGCAGGCUGGAAGAUAUUAGGGAACUGCUUCACUUGCCUGCAUUAAUGUGACUUCUGAAACUGUUUGUCUCUUCCUCGUCUGUCUUUCAGAGUUCUCUCACCGUGACCAUGUUGACCGUUCUGCUUCUCAGUGCUGUCGUUGCUCUGGGUGAUGCAGGCAAUGGGGUAAGCGCAAGUGUCCAAAAAGAUGGUUUGAGUUUUAGUCACAAUGCUUCCUGAUUGACUAGACUGCGACGACCUGGCGUGAAGCAGAGCACAACUGUGUCUCUGGGCCAGAAUCUAGAGUCUGAGCAUGAUUCCGACAGCUACUCUAGACACUUUGCAUCGGUGCACAACCCUGAGGAAUUCCAGUUCCUGCUGGCACUAACACAGACUGUGAGCCUCCCGCUCUGGAUUGGAGGUUCAGCCCAGGUAGAGUAUAUUUGGACUGACUCACUAGGAACAUGAAGUCUAGGGUAACAUCUCAAUUCAAAUGUAGGUUUAGAGGACCUUAUGAACCACGUCUACACCUGAAUCAUGCUUGACGGUCAGCUUACAGGGACUCUCCAUUAGCAUUUUUGGUCACUCUGCACAUUUUGGGAGUAGCUUUUAAUUUAUGUGUAGAUGGUAGUGGGAAGAUUCAGGAUGUGCUUGCUAAAGGCAACUUCCAAAACCACCUGAUCUUCAUUGAUCGCCCCCCCCUCCACACACAUGAUGGACGAUGGUCCUGGAGUGAUGGCUCCAAAUUCAAUUACAAGAACUGGGCCAAAGGAAAGCCGGAGAACUUUGAUCCUGCCAGAAGGCCAUGUAUCCAGAUGAACUAUGGAGAGAAACACUGGAAUGAUGCAACAUGUGG
ensembl:lncRNA